UGCCCCAUGGCUGAGUUGGUUACAGCGUCCGACUGUUAUAUCGGCUUCGUGGGUCUUGCAAUCGGAAGGUCGUGAGUUCGAGCCUCACUGGGGCAG